rnacentral:tmRNA from 1 species
GGGGAUGUACCGGUUUCGACGUGGGUUUUGAACUCGAGGUUGCAUGUCGUGUUACUCUGGGUCACGUAAAAACUGGGGAAAUUUAAAACAAACGCAAACGAAAAUAAUUUAGUAGCUGCCUAGUGCAGCUUGUCCCUCUUAAUCCUCCUGCCGAUUAAGAGCUGACAUCAUACUUAUGCAGGGUACUACUUUCGGGACCGUCUCGACUGAAAGUGGAUUAAUUGAGACUGGACGAAUUUGAAACCUGUCACUCGGUGUCAAAGGAGUCGAGAUUUUAAAAGAGCUGACUAAACAUGUAGAUACAGCGACGGAAAGACUUACGGACAGGGGUUCGACUCCCCUCAUCUCCAU